GGAGAGUGCGUGCUUUGGAUUCAAGACUGGGAAUGAGUAGACCAGAAAUCUAUUCUGUGGCUGUUUCUUGCUAGGACUUUCCUAAGCCUCUGGAAAAGUGCAAAGUACAAUUAACAUUUGAGUCUGUCUGAGUCAUGAAGAAAUGGAGAUUACUCUUAUUACUGAAAAUAAUUCAUUUUGGUAUCUUCUUACAUCCUGAGAGCCUAAUCUUUCCAAGUUCAUCUAAGGCUCCUCUUCUCCAUGACAACCUCAUCCAGGGAUUUCUUCCUGUCCUGGUGUUUUAUGACAUAAUCACAUCCUUCCUGAGAUAAUGAGCACACAAUUGCCUGGAUACCUGAAGGAAUGGAGACAGCAGCACAAAACACUGCAGAGAGGUGGAAUAUUUUAAAAUCCCAUUACUGCUACCAACAAUAAUAAUGGAUGCAUAGAAAUAGAUCUGGAUUCGCUGAGCUUGAAACAGUCUAUCUCACUCACACACAAAAUAAUUUCAGAUACAGUUAACCCACAUGUUGAAGUUUUCUAGUAUAAUAACAAUUUCAACUGUUCUGUUGAAUCAUCUGUCCUGAUUGGAGGCUACAGAAAAGAUGUCAUCUUAGGACUGCUUGCUCCGAGUGAGGCUCAUCUUCAAAUCUGAAUGACCACAAGGAGAUUUGAUUAUACAUGUGAACACCUCAGAAGGCACAGCCCGCCCAGAAGGCAGACAG